AUUAGUGGCAUCAUCAUUUUUGUUCUUCUUGGCUGACUCGUUGUGCCAGCACUCAGAGGAGUAGUGUCCAUACUUCUUGCAUGUAUAACACUGUAUAUUUCGUUUGUCGGUGCCUUUUCUGCCUCUACCUCUCGGGCAUCUACCUCCUCUGCUACCUCCAUCCUCUCCAUUUUCUUCACCGCUUUGUUCAGAGUAUGUCACAUUUCUUCCUCCAUUUCGGCCACCACCACCACGCGAUCUUCCUCUACCUCUGCCUCGGUUCUUGCAGCCUGAUUUUGCUCUUGCUUGGAAAGCUUGAUUCGUUGCUUGUGUCGCUGCUGCUUUCUCAACGUUCUUUCUUUCAAGCAGUCUCUGUUCAUGCGCAACGAGAGAGUUCUAUAAUUCCUCAAUUUUCAAUGUUUCCAAAUCUCUACACUCUUCAAUGGUGAUCACAAUAUGAUCAUACUGUGGUGUCAAACUACGCAAAACCUUUUGGAUUAAUUUUCUAUCUUUUACAAUUUUUCCACAGGCCCUCAUGUCAUUGACAAGAGUCUGGAUUCUUCCCAUGUAUUCUGUCACAGUUUCCUCUACACCCAUCCCCAGAAGCUCAUAUUGACGUUGCAAUGCUUGUAGUCUCACUUUUUUAACUUUUCCAGUAUUCCCAUAUCCUUCUUGGAGAAUAUCCC
rnacentral:lncRNA from 1 species